rnacentral:rRNA from 1 species
ACACAUGCAAGUCGAACGAGAUCCACCGCGUGGCAACACUCGGGAAGAUCUAUUGGCGAACGGGUGCGUAACACGUGAGAAACCCACCCCGAACUCUGGGAUAACAGGUGGAAACGCUGCUAAUACCGGAUACCUCCGCCGAGUCGCAUGGCUUGGCGUAGAAAGGUCCGCCGGUUCGGGACGGUCUCGCGGCCUAUCAGCUUGUUGGUGGGGUAAUGGCCUACCAAGGCAUCGACGGGUAGCUGGUCUGAGAGGAUGAUCAGCCACACUGGGACUGAGACACGGCCCAGACUCCUACGGGAGGCAGCAGUGGGGAAUCUUGCCCAAUGGGCGCAAGCCUGAGGCAGCAACGCCGCGUGCGGGAAGAAGGCCUUCGGGUUGUAAACCGCUUUCAGCAGGAACGAAAAUGACGGUACCUGCAGAAGAAGGUGCGGCCAACUACGUGCCAGCAGCCGCGGUGACACGUAGGCACCAAGCGUUGUCCGGAUUUAUUGGGCGUAAAGAGCUCGUAGGCGGUUCGGUAAGUCGGGUGUGAAAACUUUGGGCUCAACCCAAAGCCUGCACCCGAUACUGCUGUGACUUGAGUCCGGUAGGGGAGUGGGGAAUUCCUGGUGUAGCGGUGGAAUGCGCAGAUAUCAGGAGGAACACCGGUGGCGAAGGCGCCACUCUGGGCCGGUACUGACGCUGAGGAGCGAAAGCGUGGGGAGCGAACAGGAUUAGAUACCCUGGUAGUCCACGCCGUAAACGUUGGGCACUAGGUGUGGGCUCUUACCAACGGAGUCCGUGCCGUAGCUAACGCAUUAAGUGCCCCGCCUGGGGAGUACGGCCGCAAGGCUAAA